AACAACAACCUUAUCACGGCUUCUCAGUAGAUUUAGCAUAUAAUUGUAGAGUUAACUAAUUUUUCUAAGAUCUUAAAGUACUUGAAAAUAUGCCCUUGGGAACAAUCUUGCCAUAGCAGGGAAUGCAGAAGAUGAAUGAACAGGUUCCUGCUGUCUCUUUGAUUUCCACAGUCCCUUUUUUAAUGGCCUCUCUCCCCAUGAGAUUGCCCAAAAUUCUGAAAUAUUAGUCACUCGGUUUUGUUUACUGAUAUUCUUCUCCUACAGUUGCAAAAAAUAAGAGUUAAAAAUUGCUUAGGUUAUACUGUGUGUGUGUGUGUGUGUGUGUGUGUGUGUGUGUGUGUGUGAAUACAGGAAGAGGGUUGUAGGGAGGCCAGGAUGUAAACAUAGUCAACAUUCUUGUGUGCCUCUUAGAGCAUGGGUUGAUGUAAAAAUCCAGGUUGAUUGUGGUUGGAGUGUUGGAUUGGACCAGGAAAUCUAGAUUCAAAACCUUAUUGGCCAUUAAGCUCACUUCACUGAGUGGCCUUGGCUCAGUCACAUCCCAUGGCUUAACACGUCCCUGUCAUGAUUGGGUUCUACACCUGUAGCAUCUUCCCCACUUGUGAAGUCCCAACCUUGUGCCCUCUCAUCAGCCGCAGCCAGCAUGCGUAGCUGGCAUGGUCUAGGUUGGAGAAGGCCGCACAGCAAAAUUAGCUGUCAGCCAUAGGUGAUGAAGCAGACAGCCCUAAUAUCCAGGGCUUUAGAUGCCUCCUGUCAUUCAUUUGCUACGUACCCAGUUCUUAUGCAGUUCACUUUGGUAACAUAUGUUUGUCAAACCAGGCAGAGGAAACGGUUUGAAAACUGUCCAAAAAUAUAUCACAGUUAGGGGUGGGGGAGACUGAGCUGCGGCAAACAUGAAACAAUUCUCCCGUCUAGCAGACUUCUUUCGUGUGUUGUGCUUGCCUUCAAACCAUGGGGAAAGCAUUUGUAUUCUGUGCAAAUAAAACAAAAGUGUGAUUUUAUCGCUAAAGAUUUAGUUGUUAUUCUGGAAAUAUUCAUUGUUUUAUUUAAAACAGGACUUUCCUUUCUUUACAACUAUAUAAUAAACUAAUUGCUUCAUUUCAGCUCUGAUUUAAACAAGUUUUAUUCAAUGCAGGCAGUACACUUAAAGCUAAUUUAUUGCAUCUAGAUUAAAAAAAACCCCUGUCAUUUAGUUUUAUGGCACUUCCUAAAAGAAAACAAAUUUUAAGUUGUUUUGGUUGUUUAGAUCCUUUGAGGAAUAAAGAGGGCUACAGUUCAGACAAGUCCAUUUCCUUCUGUAAUGGGAAAUAUUCCAAGCAUUUCUCUUCAAACAAAACCCAAAAGAUUAUCUUUACAGACUUCUGUUUAGGAGAUUUUUGGACAACACCCUAGAACAGGAAGCCACAGUUUUUCCCAAAUUUAUACAGGAUGGAAAUAGAUAAUAUUUCCAUUAUGAAAACACCCAGCUGCGACUAAUGAUUUCAGAUUUUAUAAUGGAAGUUUUUGGCACACACUCUUUGGCUGUACCUGAAAGUUUAAUUUUAGUCAACAAUUCAACAUAACGGGUGGAAUCCAAUUUGUAAUUCUAAGCACUGUGCCUCCAAAGAUUAGUCAAGAAUUUAACAGUGGGUGAAAUCUAGCUGGUUAGAGGAGGCAGGGAGAUGACUUUCUGCUGAUUUCCGUUUCCACCCUGCAACUCCCCAUGCAUUUGGAGAAGUGCGAAUUUCAAAGUUUCCGGACACAUAUUGUUGCAGAAAGUGUGAAUUAGGUUUGCCUUGUAAUGUGGACAGAAUCAAAUUCUCAACGCCCCCCCCCCCCGUUCCUAUGCAAAGCAGAAGGGUAGUGGUUGCUUAAUCCUUCCCCAAUAUGUCAUUAGAUUUGCAUAGCUUUGCCUAAUACAGUUGCCACAUAGAUUAGUCAAUUAUGUCAGCCAGUUUGGGGAAACCUGAAUCCCACGUGGGGCAGCCAUUCACUAAAGUCCAAGCGAGGAGGCAGAGGAGAAUUUUGACAAAGAAAUGUUGCCUCUGUGUUAGUUCCUGCUUCUGCCUAUGGAAUUAGUUGGUCUAACGUAUAUAUAAAGUUUUUUUCUGAGCAGAAAUGGUUGGGGGGGGGGGCAGCAAGCAAGUAAAAUCCACUGACAUUAAUGGAACUUAACCUUUUAACACCUAACAUUUUCUCCAUGUGCGUCUUCAAAUGGCAUUCUAGGAAAGUAAACGAUCUUGUUUAAUAUCUGAGGCCUUCUGUGAAUGUGAAACAGUUAGACUAAAAAUGUCCUUAUUGUUAUAAUAAAUAUCUGGUUUACGCUGAUAAGAAUUGAGAGGGUUCAUGUAGUGCCAGGCGAAAAAGCCAAAAGAAUCAGUUUAAUUGAAUCUUCUUACUUGGAAUGUCACAGUUCUACAGAAUAGAGGUCUGGGGAAUUGGGGCAAAACGCUGCCUUGGCACCUUCUUAUUGGCUGCGUGGUUCAGUUGUAUUAUUGCUUCUUGUCCCACUGAAACCAAUUGUAGGCAAGUUGUUUUUUUAUAGCAGACAAAAUGUGUCUUUUGUGCUAACCUUGACUGUAUAAAUAUAUGGUUCAGGUUAUAUAUCACUGAAUUUAUUGGGUCAAAUGAGGAGAAAUACAUAUAAAAAAGUUUGAAGCAGUGGGAGAUUUAUUUCUUAAUGCCUCUGUUUUCUUGUUUUAUUACGUUCUCAGAACUUGCAUGCUUUGCAUGGAUGUGCCACUAAUUUUAUCUCUGACCUUGCGUGGUGCUUGGGAACACAAUUUAAAAACAAAACCAAACGUUCUAAAAAUAGUGCCAUUCCAUUUUUCACCAGACGCUCUUUUAAAUGGUGUUAGUCUGAGAGUGAUGUCUACAAUCAUGGGAACCACAAGCACUGGGGUCAUCGCAACUGUUAUAGUACAGGGGCCUUCGCCCUAAAACCAUUCUCCCUUUUACCCACAAUAUCUGCCUCUGAACCCAUAAGUUGAGCAUCUUGUUUUUAGUUUGUCUGGUUUGCUUCCUUGCCACGUCUGGAACUAUUGGAUCUGUUCUCUGAUUACAUGGCAUUUGCGUUAUCUGGAUUAUGUGGGCUGAUUUGUGAGACAUUGGUGGAUGUAUGGGCUUCCCAUUUCAUUAUGUAUUCUUUAUUUUUAUAUCCCUACUUUCCUCCAAGGAGCCCAAGAUGGCGUACAUAGUUCUCCCUUCCCUGUUUUAUUUUCCCAGCUGAUGUGCUUAGGUUGAGAGACAGUGAGUGCUUCAAGGUCACCCAGUGAACUGCAAGGGUGACUGGGGAUUUGAACUCUUAAGUAUCCUAGGUAGCAGCCAAACACUCUAACCAUUGUGCCACACUGCUUCUCAGUGGCAUGGGCUAGGAUAUGUUGACCCCUUCCUUUUCUGUGGUUCCAUGACUUUUCUGCUAUCCCAUUUUAGACUUUUUUUGCCAUCUACAGGAUAGCUUUGUUCGCUGUAGCCACUGAGAAAAUUAGAAAUAUGCUGAUUUGACUUAUGUCCUAUGACUCGGGGAUAAUUUGAUAUAAAUUUACAUUGAGCUUCCUCUUCUAAACCAAUGCUCCUCCCCCUCCCAUAAUAAUAGCAAUAUUUAUAGUUACUUUAUUUUGAUCUAAAUUUUUUUAAAAAUGAUAUUUAUUACUUUUUCAACAUUUCCAACACAACACU